CCCUUAGAUGUCCUGGGCCGCACGCGCGCUACACUGAGUGUCUGAGAUACGAGUCUGCCUGGUCCGGCAAGGUCUAGGUAAUCGCUAAAAGACACAUCAUGCUUGGGAUAGAUUAUUGCAAAUAUUAAUCUUGAACGAGGAAUUCCUAGUAAGCGCAAGUCAACAGCUUGCGUUGAUUACGUCCCCGCCCUUUGUACACACCGCCCGUCGCUACUACUGAUUGGAUGUUUAAGCGAGGUUCUCGAACUGCUAGCGACUUAGCUUCGGUGAGGUCGCAGUGUGGGAAGUGAACCUAGCUUUGGUGUCUAGAGGAAGUAAAAGUCGUAACA
rnacentral:rRNA from 1 species